GAUCGGCGGGGUUUUGGCCUAAUCCACGUGGUUUUGACCCCGGUCGGGGGAUUCCACCGGGUUUUCCCCAAGUCUCCCCACUCGUCUCAAGUCUUCUCGGCUCGAGAGAAAAAGGAGGAGAGGGCGAGAGCGGCAGCGCCGCCGACGCCGGCGGGGAAGAACUGAGCGACGGCCAGGGCCGGAGCGGGCGAUCUCUCUCCUCCACUGAAGACCGGCUGCUGCGGCAUCCUUCUACCCCGCCCCCCUCCCCCCGAUCUGCUCGCCGAUCUGCGACCCUCUUCUUCCAUCCCCGGCGCGAGCUCGGCGGCCACAACAGCCUACUCCGGUAUUGAUUCCAAGGAACAAGAUCUAUAAUUCUUAACAGUCACACUCUAAAGGUGGAAAGUUAAGGACAACAGCUUUCCCUCUCUUUGAAGAUUUAGGAGAAUUGAUGGCCACCUAUGUUCUCCACAAGGGACAUGCUGUUUUCGGGACGGACCACCACCAUCACCACGAGGAGGGUCUGUCCCAAAUUCUUCAUGUGCGACCACCCAUUCGCCCGCCGCGGCCAGGGGGGGCAGGAAGGCCUGGGGGGGCGGGGACAGGGACGGGGACGG